CUUGACACCGUAACUUCGGAAGAAGGUGUGCCUUGAGUAGGUGAAGUCCCUGCGGAUGGAGCCCAAAAAGGUUGCAAAAAAUCGGUGGCUGCGACUGUUUAUUAAAAACACAGCACUCUGCAAACACGAAAGUGGACGUAUAGGGUGUGACGCCUGCCCGGUGUUGGAAGAUUAAAUGAUGGGGUGCAAGCUCUUGAUUGAAGUCCCAGUAAACGGCGGCCGUAACUAUAACGGUCCUAAGGUAGCGAAAUUCCUUGUCGGGUAAGUUCCGACCUGCACGAAUGGCGUAACGAUGGCCACACUGUCUCCUCCUGAGACUCAGCGAAGUUGAAAUGUUUGUGAUGAUGCAAUCUCCCCGCGGAAAGACGGAAAGACCCCAUGAACCUUUACUGUAGCUUUGUAUUGGACUUUGAACAGAUCUGUGUAGGAUAGGUGGGAGGCUUUGAAGCGGUGCCGCUAGGUAUCGUGGAGCCAACGUUGAAAUACCACCCUGGUGUGUUUGAGGUUCAAACCUAGGUCCAUUAUCUGGAUCGGGGACAGUGCAUGGUAGGCAGUUUGACUGGGGCGGUCUCCUCCCAAAGCGUAACGGAGGAGUUCGAAGGUACGCUAGUUACGGUCGGACAUCGUGACGAUAGUGCAAUGGCAUAAGCGUGCUUAACUGCGAGACUGACAAGUCGAGCAGAUGCGAAAGCAGGACAUAGUGAUCCGGUGGUUCUGUAUGGAAGGGCCAUCGCUCAACGGAUAAAAGGUACUCUGGGGAUAACAGGCUGAUACCGCCCAAGAGUUCAUAUCGACGGCGGUGUUUGGCACCUCGAUGUCGGCUCAUCUCAUCCUGGGGCUGUAGCCGGUCCCAAGGGUAUGGCUGUUCGCCAUUUAAAGAGGUACGUGAGCUGGGUUUAAAACGUCGUGAGACAGUUUGGUCCCUAUCUUCCGUGGGCGCUGCAGAUUUGAGGAAGCCUGCUCCUAGUACGAGAGGACCGGAGUGGACACACCUCUGGUGUAUCGGUUGUCACGCCAGUGGCAUUGCCGAGUAGCUAAGUGUGGAAGAGAUAAACGCUGAAAGCAUCUAAGCGUGAAACUCGUUUCAAGAUGAGAUCUGCCGGGGCCUUGAGCCCCCUAAAGAGUCGUUCUAGACCAGGACGUUGAUAGGCAGGGUGUGGAAGCGCAGUAAUGCGUUAAGCUAACCUGUACUAAUUGCUCGUGCGGCUUGACCCG
rnacentral:rRNA from 1 species